ACAACAACUCCAAUAGCAAUAACAACAACAGCAAUAAUAAACAGUAGAAAAAAAACACAUUUCUUUGCACAAAACCAGGUUUGAAAAAUCACCUAAAGUUGGAUGAUGUUUUUGCCAAAUGAUACAUUCAAACGCGAAUAACGAACGUGUACGGACGUCUUUCAGACAAAAAAAAAACCAACCCAAAACACACAUUUCUACUCUCGGGAAAUCUAUUUCUAAAAACAAAUAAUAUAUAUUUUUGUUAUAAAAUCCUCAAAAGUAUAUAGAAACACAAAUAGAAACGAGAGUAGUUAAAACGAAGUAAUAAAGUGCAACAAACAUUUUUGUUUCUUUAUUAAGAAAU